UACGUAGGAGACGAGCGUUGUCCGAAAUUACUGGGCGUAAAGCGCGUGUAGGCGGAUGGGCAAGUCUGCUGUGAAAGCUCCUGGCUUAACCGGGAGUGGUCGGUGGAAACUGCCAAUCUGGAGGACGGUAGAGGUAGGUAGAAUUCCCGGUGUAGUGGUGAAAUGCGUAGAGAUCGGGAGGAAUACCUGUGGCGAAGGCGGCCUACUGGGCCGGACCUGACGCUGAGACGCGAAGGCGUGGGGAGCGAACGGG
rnacentral:rRNA from 1 species